AUUAAGUUGGCAGAAAAGUGCAUUAGACUUAGGAUCUAAGAAUGGGGAUUUAGUACCCCACUUAAUA
rnacentral:tRNA from 1 species